AACGAACGCUGGCGGCGCGCCUAAUACAUGCAAGUCGAGCGAGAAGACGUAGCAAUACGUUUGUAAAGCGGCGAACGGGUGAGGAAUACAUGGGUAACCUACCCUCGAGUGGGGAAUAACUAGCCGAAAGGUUAGCUAAUACCGCGUACGCUCCUUGGACUUCGGUUCAGGGAGGAAAGCGAUACCGUGGGUAUCGCGCUCUUGGAUGGGCUCAUGUCCUAUCAGCUUGUUGGUGAGGUAACGGCUCACCAAGGCUUCGACGGGUAGCUGGUCUGAGAGGACGAUCAGCCACACUGGCACUGCGACACGGGCCAGACUCCUACGGGAGGCAGCAGUAAGGAAUAUUGCGCAAUGGGCGAAAGCCUGACGCAGCGACGCCGCGUGGGGGAUGAAGGUCCUCUGGAUUGUAAACUUCUUUUAUAUGGGAACGAAAAAGGCUUUUCUAAGUCGUCUGACGGUACCAUAUGAAUAAGCACCGGCUAACUCCGU
rnacentral:rRNA from 1 species